UAGGGAAUCUUCGGCAAUGGGGGGAACCCUGACCGAGCAACGCCGCGUGAGUGAAGAAGGUUUUCGGAUCGUAAAGCUCUGUUGUUAAGGAAGAACGAGUGUGAGAAUGGAAAGUUCAUGCUGUGACGGUACUUAACCAGAAAGGGACGGCUAACUACGUGCCAGCAGCCGCGGUAAUACGUAGGUCCCGAGCGUUGUCCGGAUUUAUUGGGCGUAAAGCGAGCGCAGGCGGUUAGAAAAGUCUGAAGUGAAAGGCAGUGGCUCAACCAUUGUAGGCUUUGGAAACUGUUUAACUUGGGUGCAGAAGGGGAGCAUGUAAUUCCAUGUGUAGCGGUGAAAUGCGUAGAUAUAUGGAGGAACACCGGUGGCGAAAGCGGCUCUCUGGUCUGUAACUGACGCUGAGGCUCGAAAGCGUGGGGAGCGAACAGG
rnacentral:rRNA from 1 species